rnacentral:ncRNA from 15 species
CGGACGAAACAGGGGUGUCCCGCCAGUGUGGCGCGCGACUGAGAAAGACCCUGGAGCCAUUCAACAGCCGCUGCGGCGCUGGGCUCCGCUACCCGAUCCAGGUAAUGCUGGCGUGGGGAGUUUCCAGCAACGGCAC